CACAAAAGUGCCGCGGCACAGUGGUUGAGAAUCACUGACCUACAGCCUGAGCUUGAAUAUGAACAAGGGUGGAUACUGAAAUUGAACGUUUUAUCAAUAAUCCGUCAUGGAGUGUAUAAAAAAUAAUACGGAUAGAAUGGAAGUGAAUGCAGAAAUGACUGCGAAUAGAGGAGAAUGGAAAUGAAAAACAUAUCGAGCCGAACCUAAAUAAAUAAUUACCAUAAAGUUGCCGUUCAAAGUAUACACCACCUGAUGGCUUGCAAAUAAUAUAGUCUAAACGUUAUUCUUUAAACUUUAAAGGAUCCACGUAAUCUUAUUUCUAUAAUAAAACAUGAUACUGACCUUAGGG